CCCCUUUCCUCUUUUUUCUUUCAUUUUUCCCCCUCUUUUAUUUUUUAAUCCUUUCCUUUCCUUUUUUCCUCCAUUCCUUUUCCAUUUUUUCUCCUUUUUCUUUCAUUUUCCCGACUUUCUUUGAGGCGAACUCCUCAGCAGAGUCCCGCCCCCCUCCCGAGCCUUAUCUCGGCAGCGCAGGCGGCUCGGGGAGAAUUCCAGCGCCUCUCAGAUCCCCAAAAUUCACCCCGGGAUCACCUCUAAUUAACUCCUGAUCCAAUUAACGCCUGUCUGCAAUCGGGAUAAGAGAGUUCAAACCGGGUUCCAUCAGAUAAAACCGGGGCUGAGGGGAGAAAACACAAAAAAAAUUCAAUUUUUUCCCCCUGGGAAUUGGGGUUCGGCGGGAAAACGCCGGGAUUUUAGGGAUAGGAGGGGAAAAUCAGUAUUUUUCCCCACGGGUUUUUGUGUUUUCUCCCUGCUCUUCCCGGAUUUUCCCCGCAUUUCCCAAUUUUUCUCAUCUUCCACUAUUUCCCCUCAUUUUCCACCAUUAUCCCCUCAUUUCCCCACUAAUUUCUCCCUAAUUUUCCCCGUUUUCCCCCAGUUUGCCCCCAUUUCUCCCCAAUUUCCCCCAUUUUCCCCCAAUUCCUCCCCAAUUUCCCCCCAAUUCCUCCCCAUUUUCUCUGUUUCCCCUCAUUUUCCCACAUUUCCCCCCCAUUUUUCCAUUUUCCCCUUCAUUCCUUCCCCAUUUCCCCACGUUUUUCCCCCAUUUUCCCCCCAUAUUUCCUCCCCAUUUCCCCCCACAUCUCCCCACAAUUUCUCUCCCAUCCCUCCCAUUUUCCCCACAUUUCUCCCAUUCCUCUCCCCAUUCCCCCACAAUUUUCCCCACAUUUUCCCCAUUUCCCCACAAUUUUUCCCGUAUUUCCCCCCAUUUUCCCCCCAUUUCCCCCAAAAUCCUCCCACAUUCCCCCCCUUUCCCCCCCAAAUUUCCCACAUUUUUCCCAGAUUUUCCCCCAAUUUCCCCCCAACUUUCCUCCCAUUUCCCCCCAUUUCCACCCAUUUUCUCCCCCAAUUUUCUCCCCCAUUUUCCCCAUUUCCCCCCACAUCUCCCAACAAUAUCUCUCCCAUUUCCCCCCAAAUUCCCUAUAUUUUCCCCCCAUUUCCGCACAAUUUCUCUUCCAUUUCUCCCCCAUUUUCCCCCCAUUUCUCCCAUUCCUCUCCCCAUUUCCCCACAAUUUUCCCCACAUUUUCCCCAUUUCCCCACAAUUUUUCCCGUAUUUCCCCCCAUUUUCCCCCCAUUUCCCCCAAAAUCCCCCCACAUUCCCCCCCUUUCCCCCCCAAAUUUCCCACAUUUUUCCCAGAUUUUCCUCCCACAUUCCCCCCCAUUUCCCCCCCAAUUUCCCCACAUUGUUCCCCCCAUUUCCCCAAUUUCCCCCCAUUUCCUCCCCAAUUUCUCCCCAUUUCCCCCCAUUUUCUCCCAAAUUUUCCCCAUUUUCCCCCAUUUUUUCCCCAUUUCCCCCAAUUUCCUCCCAUUUUUCCCAUUUCCCCCCCAUUUUCCCCAUCCCUGCCCUUAUGGG
rnacentral:lncRNA from 1 species